rnacentral:misc_RNA from 1 species
GAUGAAGAACGUAGCGAAAUGCGAUAAGUAGUGUGAAUUGCAGAAUUCAGUGAAUCAUCGAAUCUUUGAACGCACAUUGCGCCCCUUGGUAUUCCAUGGGGCAUGCCUGUUCGAGCGUCAUUUGUACCUUCAAGCUCUGCUUGGUGUUGGGUGUUUGUCUCGCCUCGGCGUGUAGACUCGCCUCAAAACAAUUGGCAGCCGGCGUAUUGAUUUCGGAGCGCAGUACAUCUCGCGCUUUGCACUCAUAACGACGACGUCCAAAAGUACAUUUUUACACUCUUGACCUCGGAUCAGGUAGGGAUACCCGCUGAACUUAAGCAUAUCAAUAAGCGGAGGA